UUAAAAAGCCGCAGCAAGUUUUGCUGUUAUAGUCAUUCUCUGAACUCUCAAGAGUUUAAGUAUCGGCGACGGCUGCAGUGCUCGAUCGAACGACUUCUCUUCAGUGAUAUUGAGUAUCGUAAUUUGUCAAGAACGAAAAGCAGCGAAUAAAGGUUGUGGAAUGAGCUACUGUCUUCUUGGAAGUGAAAACGCAUCAGAUCUGUUUUCUUCUGAAGCUGCCGUCAAAUAUGUUAAAUGUGAUCAGCACUGAGAAUUUUGUAAUAAUGACCGCCUCUGGACGAGUGUUGUUUCGUAAAGAAACCAUAUCAGAAGCAUCCAUUAGUCAGGAGAGUGAUAUCAAAGCCGUGAUGAAAGGAAAGGGACUAGAAGAGCGACAGAUGAUGACACGUGCUCUCAAUGCAUUGAAAGAAAACCCUAGUAUUUCCACAUCGGUAAGAAGAGAAGAAAUCCCCUGUGAAGACAAACCGAUGAUCUGUAACUCAGGUUAUCAGCCCACCCAUUAGAUGCUUACAAACGGCUAGAAGCAAGAAGGGGCAAAGCUCAAAUCAUUAUCAGUACUUUUAAAUCUUGGAAAAUCUCUCAGUUGAUUCAUUUCUUAGUGAAUAAUGGAAUGUGACUUUAUUGGAUCAAAGGAGUGAAGGGGCUCGCUCGAUCGUUAUGAUAGGAAAAAACGAAUUAUUAAAACCGAAAUAAGAGAACGAACAAGGAAGAAAAGAACAAAUGAAAUAAGCCUUCGAGAGAGAAACCGAUAAAAAUUGACUUCUGUUCAUGGUAGGCUGGUGUCGGAAUCUUUCUGAAAAGAUAAAAAAAAUACUUGGGAAAUUAGUGUCCUCAAAGAUGAAGAUGUUGGCGGCAACUGCUUUGCGAUAAUACAAGCGCUGAGUAAGCAAUGAUCAAUCGAGUUGUUACUGUGUGAUAUGGAAAAUAUUUGAUAAAAAUGCCAAGAAUAAACAAUAAUAUCUUGAUGACUAAGAAGCAGAAAAUGUGUUAACAAAACUUUGGUGCAAAUUGGUUUCAUUGACUUUUUGUCAGAGAUAUCAUGCAUUAUGUUAAUUCUAGGACUGCUUUUAAGCUUAAAGUACUUGUAGAGCUUCAAAGGCUGAAACAAA
rnacentral:lncRNA from 1 species